rnacentral:lncRNA from 1 species
CCUAAAUCUGAGAGAAUGCAAGUGCAAAGAAGUCCCUGUGGGGAAGGCAGCAGGGAGCACGAGGCCUGGAAGCAUGAGGCAAAGCCCGGAGAAGCUGGGGAGGGUGGAGGCCAUUACCUCGCUUAAAGUCUCUUUCUGGAGGCAAGUGCAUCUCCCAUGCCUCAUCAGCUGGAUGUCAGCACCAGAUCAUCCCAUCAAGCAUGGAAGCAUCUACAUAACGAGGGCACAGUCCAGGGCACCAGCAACCCUCAAGGGAGUGUGCUGUGUCUUUGCUAAGAUGCCUCAAGAUUCUGCCACUGUCUGCAUUAGAAACAAGCAGCUAAGUUUCCCAGGAGAAAGAAGAAAAAGAAAAACAACCAUGCACCUGACCCGUAGCUACCCUUUUUCAGGAUGAGAGGCUCACAUCCGGAAUAUCACAGUUGGGGCUUCAUAAGGCACCCCUGCACCCCUGUUUCCUGGAAUCUACUGAGAGAAAAUGGCAGACCAGCCAAGAUAUUUGACUGAGUUACAGGAGGCAAAGUGGAACAGUGUCUGCGAAUUACCUGGGGACCGCGGGAAGGGUGGACAACCGAUGGAGAAGGCUGGAGCCAAGAAAACACCAUUAUGCAUCGGUGAUCAGGGAAAGCCUUCUCCUCCGUUCCUGUAAGCUACGUGGAUUACCGGUGAGGCCUCACCCAGCAAUCCGGAGCAGGAAGUACACAAAACCCCAGAGGUCGCCUGCACACAACUAACUGAAACCCUCAAUUCAGCGGAUUGGCUUCCACCUUCAAGAGAAAAGCAAAUACUAAGAAAAUCAGUUCCCCCCUGGCACUGACCCUCUUUUCUUUCUGUAAUAGUCAGAGCACCCUGGCGGCACAGCGCACAGGCACGGACACCUGCUGCAGCCUUGGGGCAGGGCGGCGCAGCGGACAGGCGGUUGGCACAGCAUCAGGGUCUCCAUGCCAGCACCACCACGCACAGGCUGUCAGCUUGGCGAGCUACCCCCACUCUCAGAGUCUUGAUUUCUUGGCUACGCAUUGGGGAUUAGAAAAAAUAACCUGAUAUCCAGCAGAGGCUUGUUGAGAGGAUUAGAGGUCUGUGCAACUGCUCACCUGGGAGCCACUCAACAGGAGUGAGUUCCCUUUCUUAAUACCUGCAGAUAGUGGUCCUUUUUCCAGGCAGAAGGGGCCCUGGGCUGGCCCUAAGGAAGCUUUGAUGAUGGCCAGCCGACUGGUCCGGGUAACAUCAGCCUAGGGGGUUGUGUUUUCCCCAAGGUGGGGAAUUCCAGUUAAGGUUUUCUGUGUUUUGAAGCAACAAUGGAAACAAA